GACGUAGGGCGCGAGCGUUGUCCGGAUUUAUUGGGCGUAAAGAGCUCGUAGGCGGCUUGUUGCGUCGACUGUGAAAACCCGCGGCUUAACUGCGGGCUUGCAGUUGAUACGGGCAGGCUAGAGUUCGGUAGGGGAGAGUGGAAUUCCUGGUGUAGCGGUGAAAUGCGCAGAUAUCAGGAGGAACACCGGUGGCGAAGGCGGGUCUCUGGGCCGAUACUGACGCUGAGGAGCGAAAGCGUGGGGAGCGAACAGG
rnacentral:rRNA from 1 species